AGAGUUUGAUCCUGGCUCAGAACGAACGCUGGCGGCAGGCCUCAAACAUGCAAGUCUAGGGGGUGUAGCAAUACAUCACCGGCGGACGGGUGCGUAACGCGUGGGAAUGUACCUAUUGGUUCGGAACAACUGAGGGAAACUUCAGCUAAUACCGGAUGAGCCCGAAAGGGGAAAGAUUUCUCGCCAAUGGAUCAGCCCGCGUCCGAUUAGCUAGUUGGUGGGGUAAUGGCCUACCAAGGCUACGAUCGGUAGCUGUUCUGAGAGGAAGAUCAGCCACACUGGGACUGAGACACGGCCCAGACUCCUACGGGAGGCAGCAGUUGGGAAUCUUGGACAAUGGGGGAAACCCUGAUCCAGCCAUGCCGCGUGAGUGAUGAAGGCCUUCGGGUUGUAAAACUCUUUCGACGGGGACGAUAAUGACGGUACCCGUAGAAGAAGCUCCGGCUAACUUCGUGCCAGCAGCCGCGGUAAUACGAAGGGGGCUAGCGUUGUUCGGAAUUACUGGGCGUAAAGCGCGCGCAGGCGGUCUUCCAAGUCAGUGGUGAAAGCCCGGAGCUCAACUCCGGAACUGCCAUUGAAACUGUGAGACUGGAGUACGAGAGAGGUGAGUGGAAUUCCCAGUGUAGAGGUGAAAUUCGUAGAUAUUGGGAAGAACACCGGUGGCGAAGGCGGCUCACUGGCUCGUAACUGACGCUCAGGCGCGACAGCGUGGGGAUCAAACAGGAUUAGAUACCCUAGUAGUCC
rnacentral:rRNA from 1 species